rnacentral:rRNA from 1 species
UGGGGAAUAUUGCACAAUGGGCGAAAGCCUGAUGCAGCAACGCCGCGUGAGUGAUGAAGGUCUUCGGAUUGUAAAGCUCUGUCUUUUGGGACGAUAAUGACGGUACCAAAGGAGGAAGCCACGGCUAACUACGUGCCAGCAGCCGCGGUAAUACGUAGGUGGCGAGCGUUGUCCGGAUUUACUGGGCGUAAAGGGUGCGUAGGCGGAUGUUUAAGUGAGAUGUGAAAUACCCGGGCUUAACUUGGGUGCUGCAUUUCAAACUGGAUAUCUAGAGUGCAGGAGAGGAGAAUGGAAUUCCUAGUGUAGCGGUGAAAUGCGUAAAGAUUAGGAAGAACACCAGUGGCGAAGGCGAUUCUCUGGACUGUAACUGACGCUGAGGCACGAAAGCGUGGGUAGCAAACAGGAUUAGAUACCCUGGUAGUCCACGCCGUAAACGAUGAGUACUAGGUGUAGGAGGUAUCGACCCCUUCUGUGCCGCAGUAAACACAUUAAGUACUCCGCCUGGGAAGUACNACGCAAGAUUAAAAC